AGCAGCCGCGGUAAUUCCAGCUCCAAUAGCGUAUAUUAAAGUUGUUGCAGUUAAAAAGCUCGUAGUUAAAUUUCGGGAUCAAUUUAUUGGUCGUGCUAUUGUACGUACUGGUAUUAUUGAUUCCUACCUUCUGACGAACCAUGAUGUCAUUAAUUUGGUGUCAUGGGGAAUCAGGACUGUUACUUUGAAAAAAUUAGAGUGUUUAAAGCAGGCUCACGCUUGAAUACAUUAGCAUGGAAUAACGAAAUAGGACGUUUGAUUCUAUUUUGUUGGUUUCUAGGAUCGACGUAAUGAUUAAUAGGGAUAGUUGGGGGCAUUAGUAUUCAAUUGUCAGAGGUGAAAUUCUUGGAUUUAUUGAAGACUAACUACUGCGAAAGCAUUUGCCAAGGAUGUUUUCAUUAAUCAAGAACGAAAGUUAGGGGAUGGAAGACGAUCAGAUACCGUCGUAGUCUUAACCAUAAACUAUGCCGACUAGGGAUUGGACGAUGUUAAUUUUUUAAUGACUCGUUCAGCACCUUACGG
rnacentral:rRNA from 1 species